UACGGAGGAUCCGAGCGUUAUCCGGAAUUAUUGGGUUUAAGGGUGCGUAGGCGGCCAUUUAAGUCAGCGGUGAAAUUUUGCAGCUUAACUGUAACAGUGCCGUUGAUACUGGGGAGCUAGGAUUUGGUUGCUGUGGGUGGAAUGUGUGGUGUAGCGGUGAAAUGCUUAGAGAUCACACAGAAUAUCGAUUGCGAAGGCAGCUCACAAAGCCAAGAUUGACGCUGAGGCACGAAAGUGUGGGGAUCAAACAGGAUUAGA
rnacentral:rRNA from 1 species